rnacentral:rRNA from 1 species
UACGUAGGGGGCGAGCGUUGUCCGGAAUCAUUGGGCGUAAAGGGCUCGUAGGCGGCCAACUAAGUCAGACGUGAAAUCCCUCGGCUUAACCUGGGGGCUGCGCUUGAGACUGUGGGACUUGAGGUCAGAAGAGGGUCGUGGAAUUCCCAGUGUAGAGGUGAAAUUCGUAGAUAUUGGGAAGAACACCGGUGGCGAAGGCGGCGACCUGGUCUGAUACUGACGCUGAGGCGCGACAGCGUGGGGAGCAAACAGG